CCUACGGGAGGCAGCAGUGAGGAAUAUUGGUCAAUGGGCGAGAGCCUGAACCAGCCAAGUCGCGUGAGGGAGUACUGCCCUAUGGUUUGUAAACCUCUUUUGUCGUGGAGCAAAAGCCGGACGUGUCCGGCUGUGAGAGUACCCGAAGAAAAAGCAUCGGCUAACUCCGUGCCAGCAGCCGCGGUAAUACGGAGGAUGCGAGCGUUAUCCGGAUUUAUUGGGGUUAAAGGGUGCGCAGGCGGAUUUUUAAGUCAGCGGUCAAAUCGUGGGGUUCAACCCCAUCCAGCCGUUGAAACUGGGGAUCUAGAGUGUGCGAGAGGUAUGCGGAAUGCGUGGUGUAGCGGUGAAAUGCAUAGAUAUCACGCAGAACCCCGAUUGCGAAGGCAGCAUACCGGUGCACAACUGACGCUCAGGCACGAAAGCGUGGGUAUCGAACAGGAUUAGAUACCCCAGUAGUC
rnacentral:rRNA from 1 species